rnacentral:rRNA from 1 species
CAAAUCAAUAUAGUUUGACAAUUAUAAAUUUACUAUAUUUAAUUGGUUAAUUAAAUUUUAAUAGAAAUAACUUUAUGUAUAAAAUUUUAGUAUUGUGUUAAGAAAAGAUGGUUUUAGUGAUAGUUUAUUAGUAUUGUAAAAGAAUAUUGAAAUAUUUAAUAUUUAUUUAAAAGUAAAAUUGAUUUUUUGUACCUUGUGUAUCAGGGUGUAUUAAUUAAAGGUUUAUGAUAAUUAAUUUUCUCGAAUUUAAGAGAGCUAAAAUUUUAUGAUUGUUAUUGUUUCAUCAAUAUAAUUAAUAGAUUUUUGGCAAUGAAAAGUUAUUCGUUCUUAAAUAUAUCUAGUUCGUUUGGAAAUGAAUUUAAUUCAGAAGUUAUUGAUUUAGUGUUUUAUUUAUUUAGAGCGUUGGAUUUUAACUUUAAUAUUAUAGGGGAUAAGCUCUAUAUUAAAUUUUUAAAAAUUUAUUUUGUUAUUCAAGAUUUGUAGGUUUAGAAAUAGCCAUCAAUUUAGUUUGUUAUAAUUAAUUUGUUUAGGAUUUUGAUUUUAUAUAAUUUUAAGUUGAUUUACAGGCGUUAAUUUAUUAAUAAAGGAUAAGUUGUGAUAAUGAUGCAAUUAGUAUAUUUUAUGUGAUAGUAGAGUUUACAAGACAAUUUAAGUAGAGGAAUUCGGCAAAUUUUUUACUCGCCUGUUUAACAAAAACAUGUCCUUUAGGUGUAUAAUUUAAGGUCUAACCUGCCCGAUGAUUGAAUUGAAUGGCCGCAGUAUUUUGACUGUGCAAAGGUAGCGUAAUCAUUAGUUUUUUAAUUGAAAGCUUGUAUGAAUGGUUGGACGAGGUAAAUACUGUCUUUACUUGAUUUAUAUUAGAAUUUAACUUUUGAGUCAAAAGGCUCAAAUUUAAUUAAUAGACGAGAAGACCCUAUAGAUCUUUAUUCAUUAAUUUUUAAAUUAGGUUUGGAUUUAUUAUUAAUUUAAUUUUUUGUGUAUUUUGUUGGGGUAAUAUAAAGAUUAGAUAAAUUCUUUGAAUUUUAAAACAAUGAUGAUUGAUUUAGUGAUCCAUUAAUAUUGAUUAUAAGAUUAAGUUACCUUAGGGAUAACAGCGUAAUUUUUUUUAAGAGUUCAUAUCGAUAAAAAAGUUUGCGACCUCGAUGUUGGAUUAAAAAUUGUUUCGGGUGCAGAAGUUCGAAAGUUUGGUCUGUUCGACCAUUAAAUUUUUACAUGAUCUGAGUUCAGACCGGCGUGAGCCAGGUCGGUUUCUAUCUUUAGUAAAAUAAAAUAUUUUAGUACGAGAGGACCAAGUAUUUGAUAUAUAAAUAUCUAAGUUUUGAAUAUUAUUAUUACUUUGGCAGAAUAGUGCAAUGAAUUUAGAAUUCAUGAAUGUGAUUUUUUCAC